rnacentral:rRNA from 1 species
AGAGUUUGAUCAUGGCUCAGAUUGAACGCUGGCGGCAGGCCUAACACAUGCAAGUCGAGCGGUAGCACAGAGAGCUUGCUCUCGGGUGACGAGCGGCGGACGGGUGGGUAAUGUCUGGGAAACUGCCUGAUGGAGGGGGAUAACUACUGGAAACGGUAGCUAAUACCGCAUAACGUCGCAAGACCAAAGUGGGGGACCUUCGGGCCUCAUGCCAUCAGAUGUGCCCAGAUGGGAUUAGCUAGUAGGUGGGGUAACGGCUCACCUAGGCGACGAUCCCUAGCUGGUCUGAGAGGAUGACCAGCCACACUGGAACUGAGACACGGUCCAGACUCCUACGGGAGGCAGCAGUGGGGAAUAUUGCACAAUGGGCGCAAGCCUGAUGCAGCCAUGCCGCGUGUGUGAAGAAGGCCUUCGGGUUGUAAAGCACUUUCAGCGGGGAGGAAGGCGUUAAGGUUAAUAACCUUGGCGAUUGACGUUACCCGCAGAAGAAGCACCGGCUAACUCCGUGCCAGCAGCCGCGGUAAUACGGAGGGUGCAAGCGUUAAUCGGAAUUACUGGGCGUAAAGCGCACGCAGGCGGUCUGUCAAGUCGGAUGUGAAAUCCCCGGGCUCAACCUGGGAACUGCAUUCGAAACUGGCAGGCUAGAGUCUUGUAGAGGGGGGUAGAAUUCCAGGUGUAGCGGUGAAAUGCGUAGAGAUCUGGAGGAAUACCGGUGGCGAAGGCGGCCCCCUGGACAAAGACUGACGCUCAGGUGCGAAAGCGUGGGGAGCAAACAGGAUUAGAUACCCUGGUAGUCCACGCCGUAAACGAUGUCGAUUUGGAGGUUGUGCCCUUGAGGCGUGGCUUCCGGAGCUAACGCGUUAAAUCGACCGCCUGGGGAGUACGGCCGCAAGGUUAAAACUCAAAUGAAUUGACGGGGGCCCGCACAAGCGGUGGAGCAUGUGGUUUAAUUCGAUGCAACGCGAAGAACCUUACCUGGUCUUGACAUCCACAGAACUUUCCAGAGAUGGAUUGGUGCCUUCGGGAACUGUGAGACAGGUGCUGCAUGGCUGUCGUCAGCUCGUGUUGUGAAAUGUUGGGUUAAGUCCCGCAACGAGCGCAACCCUUAUCCUUUGUUGCCAGCGGUCCGGCCGGGAACUCAAAGGAGACUGCCAGUGAUAAACUGGAGGAAGGUGGGGAUGACGUCAAGUCAUCAUGGCCCUUACGACCAGGGCUACACACGUGCUACAAUGGCAUAUACAAAGAGAAGCGACCUCGCGAGAGCAAGCGGACCUCAUAAAGUAUGUCGUAGUCCGGAUUGGAGUCUGCAACUCGACUCCAUGAAGUCGGAAUCGCUAGUAAUCGUAGAUCAGAAUGCUACGGUGAAUACGUUCCCGGGCCUUGUACACACCGCCCGUCACACCAUGGGAGUGGGUUGCAAAAGAAGUAGGUAGCUUAACCUUCGGGAGGGCGCUUACCACUUUGUGAUUCAUGACUGGGGUGAAGUCGUAACAAGGUAACCGUAGGGGAACCUGCGGUUGGAUCACCU